GACGAACGCUGGCGGCGUGCCUAACACAUGCAAGUGGAGCGACGAACCAGGCUUCGGCCUGGGGCAAAGCCGCGAACGGGUGAGUAACACGUGGGUAACCUGCCCCGAAGACCGGGACAACCCGAGGAAACUCGGGCUAAUACCGGAUGUGGUCACCGUCCGCAAGGACAGUGAGCAAAGGAAGCUUCGGCCUCCGCUUCGGGAGGGGCCCGCGGCCCAUUAGCUUGUUGGUGAGGUAACGGCUCACCAAGGCUGCGAUGGGUAGCUGGUCUGGGAGGACGAUCAGCCACACUGGGACUGAGACACGGCCCAGACUCCUACGGGAGGCAGCAGUGGGGAAUCUUGCGCAAUGCGCGAAAGCGUGACGCAGCAACGCCGCGUGGGGGAAGAAGGCCUUCGGGUUGUAAACCCCUUUCAGGAGGGACGAAGCCUCGGGAGUGAAUAGCUUUCCGGGGUGACGGUACCUCACGAAGAAGCCCCGGCUAACUACGUGCCAGCAGCCGCCGUAAGAC
rnacentral:rRNA from 1 species